CCCGUACAAGCUUCAAAUUCGGUCCCGUGCUCUAUAUUCUUUACGCGCCAGCGCUUCUGCUCUCCGCUCUGGUCUCCCAAAUUUGAACGCUACAACAGAAUCUUCAAGCACGCAUGACUUCCCAGCUCUCAAGACUAUAAUCACUCCAAAAAAACCUUCACAGCGCCCAAUUUCCUCAUUUACAAACUCAAUCACCGUCGCAGUCGCCGUCCGGCAGCCGUUGCUCCCGCCGGGUUUCGUGUCAGAGAAUGUCGUCCUUGUCUGCUACUGCGGCACCGACUCUCCGGACAGUGACUAUACCUUACUCUGACCUCAAAGACAAAGAUGCCGAUUUGUCAAUGAAGAUUGAAGAGGGGUUUGGGCCGAAUGGAUUGGGAAUACUAUCAGUUACAGAUGUUCCGGGGUUUUCUUCAUUGCGUCAAAAUCUUCUACGUCUUUCACCAAGUCUAGCUAGUCUGCCUGAAGAGGUGAAAAAGGAACUUGAGGAUCCUAAUAGCAGGUACAACUUUGGAUGGAGUCAUGGAAAGGAGAAGCUUGAAUCUGGGAGGCCUGAUAUGCUGAAAGGCUCUUUUUAUGCAAAUCCAACAUUGGAUGUACCUACAAAUGAUGUAUCACUUAUUAAACGGUAUCCAUCAUAUUGUGGACCAAAUAUUUGGCCUCGUGAAGCUUUGCCAGAACUUGAAGUGGUUUUUAAAGCUCUUGGAAAACUUAUCCUGGAUGUGGGGUUGAUGGUGGCAUAUCAUUGUGAUCAAUAUGUUUACAAGGGAAUGAAAUUGCAUGAAAAUGAAAGCCUUGAAGAGACACUGCGUCGCUCUCGGUGUCAUAAAGGUCGUCUACUUUACUAUUUUCCAGCACAACAGAGUAAUUGUAUCCAUGAUGGCGACAGCAUGUCAUCUUGGUGUGGAUGGCAUACGGACCAUGGUUCCUUGACAGGUCUUACCUGUGGCAUGUUUGUGAGAGACAAUGUAGAAAUACCUUGCCCUGAUAGUGCUGCUGGUCUUUACAUCAGGACACGAACUGGCCAAAUUGUCCAAGUUGUCUAUGGAGAAGAUGAAAUAGCUUACCAAGUUGGUGAAACCACUGAAAUACUGUCAAGAGGUUAUCUCUGUGCUACACCGCAUUGUGUCAGGGCUCCUAAGGGAGAGGAAGCUUUUGGUCUUGAGCGUUCAACAUUUGCAUUAUUCAUGCAGCCUGACUGGGAUGAAAAGCUCAAGUUUCCCAAGGAGGUGCAUAUUCAUCAAGAGUUGAUUACAUCAAAUGGCACUCUUACUUUUGGAGAGUAUUCAGAGAAGCUGCUGGACAAAUAUUAUCACCUGAAAGCGUGAAGAGCUUUUGUUUCUGAGCAUUACUUAGUAAUUAAUAAACUCCUGCAAUGCUAGGGUUUUGUUGAAGCUCUACAUUCAUUUUUGCUGCAGACAUGAAUCAUAAAAGCUAAUCGGGUAUGAAGAGUGGAAGAGAUUUUUUGUAUAUUUCUCUGAUGCUCUGAGCUGGUGCCGAUCUUGAUGUUGAUGUUGAUGUUGAUGUUGCUUGUGGAACUUUAGCUAUAUUUAAACAUAAAGGAUAUCGAGUUUAGAUCUCCCCCGUCUGCAACUGGUUUUGGUACACCAUUUUACUUUUAAUCAAACUCUUCGCUUCGAAGCAACCAGUGCAUGCGUUGUCCAGUGUAAAAUGGUUGUCCCAGGGAGCUGCUGUUUAUGGUGUGUUGAGGAAAACAUAAUCCCGAUCAACUCUUGACCGAGCAUAUGCGAUUCUCACUCAUAUUUAGAUUACUAUAGUUGAAGCAAUUGCCGAUAUGACUUGUCCUCCUCCCCCACCCCAAUCUCCUAUCUCAAGCCCUUCUCCAUCCUACCACAAUGUUUCAACAUAAACGCAUGCCUACUAUUGAGCUCUCACCUAUGGCAUUGUCCGCCUUUUCAAUGGUAAUCUAAUUGGAAGUUUGGACAGGCCCUGCUUGGUUCAAAUUCUAGCUGUGAGAUCGUCCUCAUACUUCCAUUUUCCCUGUGCAUGAACUUCUGUUUUCCUCGAUUGUGAUUACUGUAAAAGCAUCUUUCUUAAGUGAAAAGUAUUCGAUUGCAUUGUCGAUUGCUACA